rnacentral:rRNA from 1 species
CCUACGGGCGGCAGCAGUGAGGAAUAUUGGUCAAUGGUCGCGAGACUGAACCAGCCAAGCCGCGUGCAGGACGACGGUUCUAUGUAUCGUAAACUUCUUUUGUCAGGGGGCAAACACUGAUACGCGUCUCCGGCUGAGUGUAUCGGACGAAAAAGCAUCGGCUAACUCCGUGCCAGCAGCCGCGGUAAUACGGAGGAUUCAAGCGUUAUCCGGAUUUAUUGGGUUUAAAGGGUGCGUAGGCGGUCGGAUAAGUUAGCGGUGAAAUCCCGGGGCUCAACGUCGGAAUUGCCUUUGAUACUGGUAGUCUAGAGUGGGGGAGAGGUAGGCGGAAUGUGUGGUGUAGCGGUGAAAUGCAUAGAGAUCGCACAGAACACCGAUUGCGAAGGCAGCAUGCC